rnacentral:rRNA from 1 species
UACGAAGGGGGCUAGCGUUGUUCGGAAUCACUGGGCGUAAAGCGCACGUAGGCGGAUCUUUAAGUCAGGGGUGAAAUCCCGAGGCUCAACCUCGGAACUGCCUUUGAUACUGGGGAUCUCGAGUCCGGGAGAGGUGAGUGGAACUGCGAGUGUAGAGGUGAAAUUCGUAGAUAUUCGCAAGAACACCAGUGGCGAAGGCGGCUCACUGGCCCGGAACUGACGCUGGAGGUGACGAAAGCGUGGGGAGCAAACAGGG